GAUGAACGCUGGCGGCGUGCCUAAUACAUGCAAGUCGAGCGAACAGAUGAGGUGCUUGUUCCUCUGACGUUAGCGGCGGACGGGUGAGUAACACGUGGAUAAUCUACCUAUAAGACUGGGAUAACUUCGGGAAACGGGUGCUAAUACCGGAUAAUAUAUUGAAACACAUGGUUCAAUAGUGAAAGACGGAUUUGCUGCACCCAAUAGAUAGCUCGCGGUCGCUUUAGUUGGUUGGUAAGGUAACGGCCUACAAAGGCAACGAACAGUAGCCGACCGGGAAGGGGGUCCGGCAACAUGGGAACGGAGACACGGUCAAGACUCCUACGGGAGGCAGCAUAGGGGAAUCUUCGGCAAGGAGCGAAAGCCGGACGGAGCAACGCCGGGGGGGUGAUGAAGGUCUUCGGACCGAAAAACUCUGUUAUUAGGGAAGAACAAAUGUGGAGGUAACUAUGCACGUAUUGACGGUACCUAAUCAGAAAGCCACGGCUAACUACGUG
rnacentral:rRNA from 1 species